rnacentral:misc_RNA from 1 species
AAAAAUCUUUAUGGGUGGAACUGAGUCUUCCCCUUGGGGAAGCCAGCGAAGCCCGACCCACACCUUUGUGAACCACGACCGUAUUUUGGUGAGGCCUUUGCUGCUGGGGUUUUCUUCCCCAUAGCACUGAGAUAGGGCGUGCUGACCAACGGUCAGCCGACCAUCUGCUCGCCUCACCGACCCACACCUGUUUAUGACAUUUUUUGUAAUAUUCAAUAAAGAGAAAUCAAUGAGAAAA